AGGGGAAAGAAAUCUAAGUGCAGGCUCUAGGAUUUGAAUGAAUUUGGUAUUCUCUCUCUGCUCGCCUCUAUUCCACCUCAUUAAAUUGUAAACUCCAAGAGGUCAAGGACUGGAUGAUCCAUUUUUGUGAUGAGAAAGUGAUUCUUUUAGCUAAUCUGUUACCUUCUUCAGUUGUAUUAAAACUUUCUAAAGGGUGAAUUAGAAUUAUUCAGGAAAUUUCUACAAUCUUGAUGAAUGCAACCACUAUCCCCAGUUCAAAUAGAAACCUGGGGUUCAUUCAAGACUUUGGUAUGGAGAUCAAGACAUUUUGUGUGGCUGCUGUGAGAAGCAAAUGAAGCAAGUGGAGCAAUCAAGCAUAGAAGCCUCCAGGUGUCUCCGGGCCCCUGAUUGUGCCUCCAAUGCCGAGACAUCGGAGCGUGCGACACCUGUGGGGGAGACGGAUUGCAUUUCAGGGAUUAAGAGCCUGGGAGUAAAACCAACGUGCGUGUCCCGGGAAUGCGCCCCGUCGCUGAAUCGUGCUGGAGCCUGGCUCAGGACUGAAGAAGCUGUUUUCUGGAGACCUUGCAGCUGGCGCCAGGAGGUCCCAGCAUUCCACCCACUACUCAGAGGCCUUCUGGAAACAUGCAUGUGCCUGCUUCCUGAGGGGAACAGUAACACGGUAACAAGCUGAGCACCCCUCCCCCACCUCACACUCAAAGUCACCAAGAGAUGACAUUUCUGGAGCUCAAAGGCAGGUUCUGGAGCUAGGUGGCCCGGGUUCAAAGCCCAGCUCUGCCACUUAAUGGCUGUGGCACCCCGGGGCAAGCCACCUACCUGGUGAGGCGUCAGUAUGUGAGGCAUGGCAAGCCCAGCAGACUCUAGAGGCAGAGGGUAGUGAACAUGGGGGCAGCUGCAUUCCUUUGAUCACCACGCCACUUCAAGCAGACUGUUCUAGAACAGUGUUGACCAGCAGAAAUAUAAUGUGAGCCACAUAUAAAAUUAAAAAAAUUUUUCUAGGAAGCUUAUUUCAAAAAAUAAGAACAGUUGGCACUAAUAGUUGUUAACCAAAUGUACCCCAAAUAUUGUCAUAACGUAAUUAAUAUAAAGAUAUUACUGAAAUAUUUUACAUAUUUUUGGCACCUAAAUCUUUAAAAUCUGGUGUGUAUUUUACAUUUAUAAUACAUCUCAGCAUGGACUAGCCACAAUUCAAGUGACCACAUGUGGCCCAAUAGUCCAUGUGGCUAGUUGCUACCAUAUUGAAUAGCACAGCUAUCCCCACAUGAUUGGAACAAAAUUAGAGCAAUAGCUGGUAUUUCUUGAUCACCAGCUGGGAAAUGAGCAAAUGACUAAACCUGUGCCGGUUCCUCCUUGUAAAAGAGGAGUAAUAAUAAAACCUAACGUGUUCCUGUGAGCCUUAAAUUA
rnacentral:lncRNA from 12 species